rnacentral:rRNA from 1 species
UACGUAGGGGGCAAGCGUUGUCCGGAAUUAUUGGGCGUAAAGAGCGCGUAGGCGGUCCGAUAAGUCGGCUGUGAAAGUCCAGGGCUCAACCCUGGAAAGCCGGCCGAUACUGUCGGACUAGAGUCCGGAAGAGGCAAGUGGAAUUCCCGGUGUAGCGGUGAAAUGCGCAGAUAUCGGGAGGAACACCAAUUGCGAAGGCAGCUUGCUGGGACGGUACUGACGCUGACUGAGCGAAAGCCAGGGGAGCAAAGCGGG